AUACUUACGUGGCAUAGGGGAUGCCGUGAUCAUGAAGGCGGAUCCUCCAGGUCGAGGCUUUUCAAUUGCACCUCGGUUGGGCUGACCCCUGCGAUUACCCCUAAUGUGGGUAACUCGGGUGCAUAAUUUUUUGGUGGUUGGGACUGCGUUCGUGCAGACCCGAU